AUGACUUCAGGCCUGGUGGGGAGGGGUCCUUUUUUGGAGGUGCCUGGCCCAUGGUCCCCCCUCCAAGGGCAGUCAGCUGUGUUUCCUAGCCUUGGGCAGCCCUGUGGCUGUCCCCAGGGAUCGGGCCUGUCCCUGCCUUUAUCUUCUGGGGCCCCGGCGUACAGUCCCAGGCUCCCUUCUCACAAAUCAAUCUGCCUCCCCCAGGAAGACCCCUGGGUCUGUCCCAUCCCGGCUGGAUUCCUCCUUCUUUGCGCCCCUCCCCUACGCGGAGUCCUGCCCUCCUCCCUUCCCUGCCUGGGAGGUGCCAGGGGGCCGGCCCCGCAGGGUGCCUUUUCCUUCUCCCCUCCGGGCUCGGUUUCCCCACCUGCGCGUCCUGGCACAGGUGGGCCCCAGGCUCUCCCCUCGUACACCUCUGGGGCUCUUGUCCCCUUCCUUCCCUGCAUUGCUCCGUCUCCUGUGCCUCCCAGCAGUGUCCUUUUUGGGGGGCCCCGGGGGCUGUGGCGAGGGGGGCAUUCCCGAGGCGAGCCCUUGUGGAGGCCGUGGGCCGCCUGCCAGGGAGGAUCCUCUGGGUGGUCUCGGCCGGGUGGGCCCGGAUGUAGCAGGCCCGGCGAGGAGCAGCACUGCCAACCAAUCGCUCCUUUACAAGCGUACUGGGAGGGAUGUGCAAGGGCCCGUGGGUGGUGUUCACGUAUGGGGGGGGGAUUUCUUUUUAAGAGACAAGGUGGGUGGAAUGGGGGAAGCCAGCUGGCUGUGGGCUCUAUUUCCACUGACAAGGCUUUACCCUGUAGGUGUGAGGAAUUCCAAUUAAACAUGCAGCCUAUUUGUCUGUGUGUGGGAAGGGUUUGCCGGCAGGGAGGGGGCCGAGGAGCGUCUCCACGGCACACCAGCAAACCAGAAAUUAGCUCCGUUCAUCACAGGCGCACGGGGCCUCCCUUAGCCCUCCUGUGCACUCACAGGAGUCGCGAGGAGGAGACAGACAGAGGAAGCGAGAGUGAGCGAGCGAGAGAGAGAGGUUGGGGAGGCGGGUUCCCCAGGCUGGAAGGGCUUCCGGAAUCUCUGAGUGGGCAGGAAGGAUUGCCCGACUCCUUGGUUCCUGGGGGGGUUUCCCCAUCUGGGGGCGCCGGCUGUGAGCUCCUCGGGGCCACCUGA
rnacentral:lncRNA from 1 species